GCACCACCGACGUCGAGGAAAUAGGUGCUGCACGCUAUGGCUUCGACAGCGUGUCCGGGGAAGAAGGGUGGAGCAACGGAGGGUGCGGCGGCGACGAGCUGGGCCGCGGCAUGGAUGAGCGCCUGGCCCCAGAUCUGGGCACUGGCAGCGACGGUGCUGCUGCCCCAUGUGCUGCAAAGCGUCGGCGUCCAAGAGGGGACCGGCGACGACGACGACGAGAUCGCGAAUUCGAGUUCAAAAACAAAACAAAAAAGUUUAGAGGUCGGAAAUGAUCUGAUGUUUGAGUUGGGCCACCUAGAGAUAUUGGAGCAGUGGAAUUAGCCAUGAGGAAUUCGGCAACAAGGACAACAAAAUACAUCCUGGAGCUAGUUGUCGGCACUUGUUUCGAUUCCCUUACAGAAGCGUACGAGUUCUACAAUAUGUAUUCAUGGGAGUUUGGUUUUAGCAUUAGAUAUGGACAUAGCUACAUAAAUGGGGAACGGUACAGGUCAUCGCAGGACCUGAUAUGCCAGCUAGAGGGGUUUGACAAGAGGGAAAAAGCAAAUCACCUAGAUGUGGAUGCAAGGCGAUGAUCCGUCUUCACAAGACAGAUGACCAUGGUUGGUUUUUGGAGACAAAUCGGCCAGAUCACAACCACCCGCUGGCUGACAAUUGCGGUGAGAAAAUGCAAUGGAACUCACACAAAAGGAUUGACCAAGCAAUGAAAGACACUGUCCGCUACCUGAGAGAGAACAAUGUCAACCUCAGCAAAGUGCAUUGUAUUCUGGGCAGCAUGCACCGUGCAAUCGGAAAGAGAGAGGUGGCUGGCCGAUAGAGAAGCAUGCCCGCCGUAUCUACACACGACUGAUGAAGCUUUUCAAUC